rnacentral:rRNA from 1 species
AGCGAACGCUGGCGGCAGGCCUAACACAUGCCAGUCGAACGAACCUUUCGGGGUUAGUGGCGGACGGGUGAGUAACACGUGGGAACGUGCCUUUAGGUUCGGAAUAACUCAGGGAAACUUGUGCUAAUACCGAAUGUGCCCUUCGGGGGAAAGAUUAAUCGCCUUUAGAGCGGCCCGCGUCUGAUUAGCUAGUUGGUUGAGGUAAUGGCUCACCAAGGCGACGAUCAGUAGCUGGUCUGAGAGGAUGAUCAGCCACAUUGGGACUGAGACACGGCCCAAACUCCUACGGGAGGCAGCAGUGGGGAAUCGUGCGCAAUGGGCGAAAGCCUGACGCAGCCAUGCCGCGUGAAUGAUGAAGGUCUUAGGAUUGUAAAAUUCUUUCACCGGGGACGAUAAUGACGGUACCCGGAGAAGAAGCCCCGGCUAACUUCGUG